rnacentral:tRNA from 1 species
GCCACUUGCUUUUCCGAUCCCUCGUAUUGCGUCCCAUAUGGUGUAGUGGCUAACAUCAGCGUCUCUCACACGCUAGCCGGGGGUUCGAUUCCCCCUAUGGGAGAAAUAAUUCAAUUUUUUUUGGCUGUUUCAUUCCGCCCUUGGCGAUUGAAUAUCUGCGCUUACUGAAAACUCGAGAUUUAAUGUCGACGGAGUAUGGAGUACAUACAGGGUAACAAGGCCACCCGAACAACGAGCAAUGAACUCUACAGUCAUUUGGUAAAUGAAGGAAAGAAGAAGGGAAAAAAGGUUUAGGAAUCCCUCUUCAUUCCUUCCCCCCUCCCCCCAAAACCAAUACAGGC